rnacentral:rRNA from 1 species
AUCGAUGAAGAACGCAGCGAAAUGCGAUAAGUAAUGUGAAUUGCAGAAUUCAGUGAAUCAUCGAAUCUUUGAACGCACCUUGCGCUCCUUGGUAUUCCGAGGAGCAUGCCUGUUUGAGUGUCAUUAAAAUCUCAACCUCUUUGGUUUCUUUCACGAAGCCAACCAGGCUUGGAUGUGGGGGUUGCAGGCUUUCAAUCAGAAGGUCGGCUCUCCUCAAAUGCAUUAGCAGAACCUUUGUUGUGGAAUGCCUUUGGCGUGAUAAUUAUCUGCGCCAUCGUCACCUGCGUCGUUCAGCUUACAACCGUCCCCCCUUCACGGGACAGCUCUUUCCGAGCUUCAUUUGACAUUUUUGACCUCAAAUCAGGUAGGACUACCCGCUGAACUUAAGCAUAUCAAUAAGCGGAGGAAAAGAAACUAACAAGGAUUCCCCUAGUAACUGCGAGUGAAGAGGGAAAAGCUCAAAUUUGAAAUCUGGUGGCCCCUGUGGCCGUCCGAGUUGUAAUUUAGAGAAGUGCUAUCCGCGUUGGACCGUGUACAAGUCUCCUGGAAUGGAGCGUCAUAGAGGGUGAGAAUCCCGUCUUUGACACGGAUCACCAGGGCUUAUGUGAUGCGCUCUCGAAGAGUCGAGUUGUUUGGGAAUGCAGCUCAAAAUGGGUGGUAAAUUCCAUCUAAAGCUAAAUAUUGGCGAGAGACCGAUAGCGAACAAGUACCGUGAGGGAAAGAUGAAAAGAACUUUGAAAAGAGAGUUAAACAGUACGUGAAAUUGUUGAAAGGGAAACGCUUGAAGUCAGUCGCGUCGUCCAGGGAUCAACCUUGCAUCAUUUGCUGGGUGUACUUCCUGGUUGACGGGUCAGCAUCGAUUUCGACCGUCGGAAAAAGGUCAAGGGAAUGUGGCAUCUUCGGAUGUGUUAUAGCCCUUGGUUCGCAUACGACGGUUGGGAUCGAGGAACUCAGCACGCCGCAAGGCCGGGGUUCGCCCACGUACGUGCUUAGGAUGCUGGCAUAAUGGCUUUAAUCGACCCGUCUUGAAACACGG